GACGAACGCUGGCGGCGUGCUUAACACAUGCAAGUCGAACGGAAAGGCCCUGCUUUUGUGGGUGCUCGAGUGGCGAGCGGGUGAGUAACACGUGAGUAACCUGCCCUUGACUUUGGGAUAACUUCAGGAAACUGGGGCUAAUACCGGAUAGGAGCUCCUGCUGCAUGGUGGGGGUUGGAAAGUUUCGGCGGUUGGGGAUGGACUCGCGGCUUAUCAGCUUGUUGGUGGGGUAGUGGCUUACCAAGGCUUUGACGGGUAGCCGGCCUGAGAGGGUGACCGGCCACAUUGGGACUGAGAUACGGCCCAGACUCCUACGGGAGGCAGCAGUGGGGAAUAUUGCACAAUGGGCGGAAGCCUGAUGCAGCAACGCCGCGUGCGGGAUGACGGCCUUCGGGUUGUAAACCGCUUUCGCCUGUGACGAAGCGUGAGUGACGGUAAUGGGUAAAGAAGCACCGGCUAACUACGUG
rnacentral:rRNA from 1 species